CCUACGGGUGGCAGCAGUGAGGAAUAUUGGUCAAUGGACGCAAGUCUGAACCAGUCAUGCCGCGUGCAGGAAGACGGCUCUAUGAGUUGUAAACUGCUUUUGUACGAGGGUAAACGCAGAUACGCGUCUCUGUCUGAAAGUAUCGCACGAAUAAGGAGCGGCUAACUCCGGGCCAGCGGCCGCGGUAAUACGGAGGGUUCAAGCGUUAUCCGGAUUUAUUGGGGUUAAAAGGUGCGUAGGCAGAAUGCCAAGUCAGGGGUAAAAUCGCGGGGGUAAACCACGCUCCGCCGUUGAAACUGGCGUUCUUGGGUGGGCGAGAAGUAUGCGGAAUGCGUGGUGUAGCGGUGAAAUGCA
rnacentral:rRNA from 1 species